rnacentral:rRNA from 1 species
AUUGAACGCUGGCGGCAUGCUUUACACAUGCAAGUCGAACGGUAACAGGCCGCAAGGUGCUGACGAGUGGCGAACGGGUGAGUAAUGCAUCGGAACGUGCCCAGUCGUGGGGGAUAACGCAGCGAAAGCUGUGCUAAUACUGCAUACGAUCUAUGGAUGAAAGCGGGGGACCGUAAGGCCUCGCGCGAUUGGACGGGCCGAUGUCAGAUUAGGUAGUUGGGGGGGUAAAGGCCUACCAAGCCGACGAUCUGUAGCUGGUCUGAGAGGACGACCAGCCACACUGGGACUGAGACACGGCCCAGACUCCUACGGGAGGCAGCAGUGGGGAAUUUUGGACAAUGGGCGCAAGCCUGAUCCAGCAAUGCCGCGUGCAGGAAGAAGGCCUUCGGGUUGUAAACUGCUUUUGUACGGAACGAAACGGUCUGGGUUAAUACCCCGGGCUAAUGACGGUACCGUAAGAAUAAGCACCGGCUAACUACGUGCCAGCCGCCGCGGUAAUAC